rnacentral:rRNA from 1 species
GACGAACGCUGGCGGCGUGCUUAACACAUGCAAGUCGAACGAAAAGAGGGAAAGAGCUUGCUCUUUCCGGAAUUGAGUGGCAAACGGGUGAGUAACACGUAAACAACCUGCCUUCAGGAUGGGGACAACAGACGGAAACGACUGCUAAUACCGAAUAAGUUCCAAGAGCCGCAUGGCUCAUGGAAGAAAAGGUGGCCUCUACCUGUAAGCUAUCGCCUGAAGAGGGGUUUGCGUCUGAUUAGCUGGUUGGAGGGGUAACGGCCCACCAAGGCGACGAUCAGUAGCCGGUCUGAGAGGAUGAACGGCCACACUGGAACUGAGACACGGUCCAGACUCCUACGGGAGGCAGCAGUGGGGAAUCUUCCGCAAUGGGCGAAAGCCUGACGGAGCAACGCCGCGUGAGUGAUGACGGCCUUCGGGUUGUAAAACUCUGUGAUCCGGGACGAAAAGGCAGGGUGCGAAGAACAAACUGCAUUGACGGUACCGGAAAAGCAAGCCACGGCUAACUACGUGCCAGCAGCCGCGGUAAUACGUAGGUGGCAAGCGUUGUCCGGAAUUAUUGGGCGUAAAGCGCGCGCAGGCGGCUUCCCAAGUCCCUCUUAAAAGUGCGGGGCUUAACCCCGUGAUGGGAAGGAAACUGGGAAGCUGGAGUAUCGGAGAGGAAAGUGGAAUUCCUAGUGUAGCGGUGAAAUGCGUAGAGAUUAGGAAGAACACCGGUGGCGAAGGCGACUUUCUGGACGAAAACUGACGCUGAGGCGCGAAAGCGUGGGGAGCAAACAGG